UUAUUAUGAGAGUUUGAUCCUGGCUCAGGACGAACGCUGGCGGCGUGCCUAAUACAUGCAAGUCGAACGCUUCUUUCCUCCCGAGUGCUUGCACUCAAUUGGAAAGAGGAGUGGCGGACGGGUGAGUAACACGUGGGUAACCUACCCAUCAGAGGGGGAUAACACUUGGAAACAGGUGCUAAUACCGCAUAACAGUUUAUGCC
rnacentral:rRNA from 1 species